rnacentral:rRNA from 1 species
ACCACAACAGGUGGAGCCUGCGGUUUAAUCGGACUCAACGCCGGGAAACUCACCAGAUAAGACAGCUGAAUGAUAGUCGGGCUGAAGACUCUACUUGACUAGCUGAGAGGAGGUGCAUGGCCGUCGUCAGUUCGUACUGUGAAGCAUCCUGUUAAGUCAGGCAACGAGCGAGACCCACGCCAACAGUUGCCAGCUCGUCCUCCGGGAUGUGGGGACACUGUUGGGACCGCCUCUGCUAAAGAGGAGGAAGGAAUGGGCAACGGUAGGUCAGCAUGCCCCGAAUUAUCUGGGCUACACGCGGGCUACAAUGGGUGGGACAAUGGGUAUCGACACCGAAAGGUGAAGGCAAUCUCCUAAACCCAUCCGUAGUUCGGAUUGUGGGCUGCAACUCGCCCACAUGAAGCUGGAAUCUGUAGUAAUCGUGUCUCAAAAUGGCACGGUGAAUAUGUCCCUGCUCCUU